rnacentral:misc_RNA from 1 species
AUGGAAGCGAACCCACUGCCCCUGGAGGUGGACGAGGAAGGCCGCCCCCAGCAGGGCUCCUCGACCGGCAGCGGAUCUUCGUCAGGCACUGGAUAUUAUGGACAUAAAAAUGGAGAGUGGAGAGGCGAGAGGCGAAUGUUGGACAUAACACGCGAUAAGCCCGUCAAAGUGUGCGUCCGCGUUGUGGUGCCAGUCCGCGAUCAUCCUAAAUUCAAUUUCGUGGGCAAGUUACUAGGGCCCAAAGGAAACUCCCUAAAACGACUUCAGGAAGACACGAUGUGCAAAAUGGCUGUACUCGGCCGCGGAUCUAUGAAAGAUCGUCAAAAGGAGGAAGAGUUACGUGUAUCAGGGGACCCGAAGUUCGCACACUUAUCAGACGAGCUCCACGUAGAAAUCAGCGCAUUCGCCACUCCGGCGGAAGCCCAUGCGCGGAUCGCGUAUGCCCUCGCUGAGCUAAGGAGAUUUUUAGUACCGGACUACAACGACGACAUACGGCAAGAACAAAUGCUUGAGAUGCAGAUUCUGUCAUCGCAGAAUGAACAGAGACGGCUCACGCCUCCGGAUUCUUCUAGAAGUGGCAGUGAAGAAACACUACCUCUGCGGGAUACCACACAGAAGCAUAGGCAGUUAACCGGUGUCCAGCCGUCGCCAGCCCAAGCCGCGCUGCCUGGCGGUAUCCCCAUAAACCAUGGUGCCAACGCGCGAGACUUCUCUCCACCAGCGCCGACUCCAGCGCCUGAUCAUCUAACCGCGGCUCAUCAUCAGUUGGCGGCAGGUCAUACUGGCGCCCACCAUGGUGUACUGGUCGGGGGAGGAGUAUUACAGCAACCUCCCACACAUCAUAUACUUACACAGAACUCCAUACUGGGUGGCGGGGAUAUAUUGGGACUGAGUAGCCCCGUUCUUGGUGGUGUAUUGCACGCACAUCCCGCCCUGCGGGGAGUAAAGCCGGCCGCUGUCCACGCCCUAGCGACGCAAGGUCGGUGCGGGUGGGGCGGCGGCUGCGAGCACGGCCCGCAAGCGCCCACUGCUGGGCGGCGCGCGGGCCGCCAUGUCGCCGACUAAGCGCGCUGUGAUGACCCUACUGGCCAGAGCCAGGGCUGCCACCCACAAGCACGCGCCGGCAUGGCCCGCGCCUCACGAGCACACGGCGUUGCUCCCGCUGAUCAGAGAUGAAUUCGUAACAGGGGUGGGUGUUAAUAUCAACCUAGCAUAAUCUAUAUUGUACGCGCUCUAGUCGAAUUGUAAUAUACAGGGUGUCCAUACUCCAAUGGUAUUCUAUAAAAUAGAUAAAUAUCCUCACAACUAUAUUCCCUAAUGGGGUAGUCAGAUGACAUCGAUUGUUAUCGUUAUGAUGAAAAUAGUGCUAACACUCGACAUACCAACUCCUAUUUUAGAAAAAUUCCAAAGAAAUUUAAAUACAACACGCAGCGCCAUCUAGUCGCAAACUGAGCAGAGUAUAUUGUAUUUCGCUAUGUGCUACCAUGGGUACUAGACAGACAAUUACUACUACUUGUGUGAGGGUAGCAACCACAGAAAACAAGAGUUUCCAGGCCGCAUCCUUUAUAUAUGAGAAACUCUGACUCUUUGUGAGCUUUACUUGUCUUCAAAGCAUGAAGCAAGUAACAAUCUUUUUCUAAUAACAUACAUUUGUAUAUCUUAGUCGCCUCUUACGACACCCACGGGAAAUAAAGGGAUGGCCCAUUCUACGCCGGAUCCACACGGCGAUUUUAUAGUUUAUUAAUAAAUAAUUCGAUGGCUUCGUAAAAUUACUGUUUUAUGGACCAUUAUAAACUAAAUGAUGAUACGGCCGUUAGACAUCCACUGCUGAACAUAUUCGUCAUCCAUUCUUGGACUUUUGACAAUAGUUGCCACGCUUGGUAGACAAAUUGGCAACUGGCUAGCCAGGUAGUUAGCUUUGGUGAUGUUUUAAUAGAGACGCUGCUGUCCAUCCUUUGACCGUUAAGUUCCCUUUAUCGCCUCUUACGACAUUCAUGGAAAGGAAGGGAUGGCCCAUUCUAUGCCGGGACCACACGGCAAUUUGCUAUGAAACCAUCAUUUCUGUAAUUACGUAACAUGUAAAUGUAUCUUCUAUCUUCACGCCAAAUCACUUGCGGGAUAUGCAGAGAAAACCUAGUGCUACCCUUACAUAUGUUUAGCCACAUCCUUUUUUAUAAUUAAUUCCUUUAUCUCAACUUAAUAAAAAUAAUAAUUGUAAUAAAUAUGAAACAUAGUAUUAACUAGUAAUGGACACCCUGUAUAACAUAAUAACUAAUCUAGUCGAAUGAACAUUAAGCUGAAAUUAUAUAAGAUCAAUUAAUAUUAAUUUAUAUUUUGUACCUGUUUUAGUAUUAUCAAAUUAUUAUUUGUAUUGCAAAGUUUUUAGUAUUCAUGAGAUAUAUAUACAGGAUGUAUCGAA